UUUUUGAAGACAUUCCUAGAAUCC
rnacentral:miRNA from 1 species